rnacentral:rRNA from 1 species
UACAGAGGUCUCAAGCGUUGUUCGGAAUCACUGGGCGUAAAGGGUGCGUAGGUGGCGUGGUAAGUCAGAUGUGAAAGCCCGGGGCUCAACCUCGGAACUGCAUCCGAUACUGCCAUGCUAGAGAACUGAAGAGGAGUGUAGAAUUCUCGGUGUAGCAGUGAAAUGCGUAGAUAUCGAGAGGAAUACCAACGGCGAAGGCAGCACUCUGGGCAGUUUCUGACACUGAGGCACGAAGGCUAGGGGAGCAAAC